ensembl:lincRNA
UCUCCUCCCUGUAGCUCCUAAGAGGAAAAGCAGCGGCCGGUGGAGAGGCUAUGGGCCUAAUCUGGCUCCCGUCCCCCACCUGGGCAGGCAGACUGUGAGUGUCUGCAAGGGUCUGUUUCCUGGGCAGGUGAGAGACAGGCCUGCCAGCUCAUGCUCUCUGACAGGGCUGUGACAAUACCUUGUCAUUCCACACCUCUGCAGGGGAGAGGGGAUGAGAUGGCCAGGCUUCCCAAAGCCAGGAAGCCAGAGUGUCUGGAAGAUCAUGCGGCCUCUGUGAAGCCCCUGCAUUGUCCGUGUACCAGGAGGAGAAGCAGAGGAAUGUACAGGCAAACCCUGCCCUUGACAGAGGUGCUGGGCUGGAAGGGAAAGAGCAUGUUGCCACUGGGUCAGUAGCAUCUCUUCCUCAAAGAUGAGCCAGCCGUCAUUUGAAGAGGAGGAAAGACUGGAUUGGGGAAGAAUCUGGGGCAAAAUGAAGCCAAAAUGAGAACGAGGAGAAAAGAAGAUGCUAAGGCCGCAGAUAAGGAGGUCUUGAGUGUUACAGCUCUUUUCGAAUUUGUCUAGCAUGCUUUCUGCUUUUUACUGGAAAGUGCCCCCCCUCCAAAAAAAAAAAAACGAAUAAAUAAAAAAGAAAGAUUUAAAAAAUAAAAGAGAAAGAAGGGCCUGGGAAUUGUGGCUGCUCAGAGGACACCCAGCUCUGAGUUCAGUAGACUCUGAUGAAGUGCCGCUUCUGCUUAUGGUUGUCCCUUCCCAUCUAUCCUGGUUCUGUUUAUCCUGUCUCAUAUCUCUCAGGAUAGUCAGGGCAGCUUCCCCUGUUCUCUUGCCACUGGCUCCAACAUCCUGCCUGUCACACGUUCUAUCUUUUGCUUCUUCAAAAUAUCUCUAAGAUUGACUCUUCCUUUCCUCUCUCCAUCAAGUUCCAUCUCCCGGGCUGAUCCUGCUCCUCUGCGAUAGAUUCUGCAGAUGGUCCUGUGUGGCCCAGUCUUCCAAAUGCACCUCUUCAGGGAUGCCCAUCCUCAGUUAGAGAAACGUGAGUGACCUCGAGGCCCUGCAGGGGGUUCUUCCUUCUGACUCGGCAUACUUAUUUCUCACUGCACCUGAAAGGAAACCCUUCAAUGCAGUUUUUGGAGCUGUCUCCAGUCCCCAGUCUCUUCCUGACCCUGCAUUCCUGCACUGGCUGAGAUAAACCUUUCUCCUCCUCACUUAAUCUGCCACUUAAUCUGCAUCCUGCCAUCCAUGAAAAUACUCCAACCCAGGCUGAAGUCUCCUUCUUCGCUUGCAUAUUAAAUGAGCCUGCCAUUGCUGGGCAUGUCUCUAUCCUCUUGCUGGUGAAAAUGGUGUUGCUUUCAGCCAAAAGCCUUUGAAAACUUCACAGAGCCAUGUCAUCUGUCACAUACAUUGCAAAGAGCAAAACUGGUCAAAGUUAAAGCAAAUUUAGUCGUUUAGCAUAGGGUUGUUUUUGAAUGAUCCCAGGGAUGUUAGUUUUGUCCCCCCACCUCCCAAUUUGCUACUGCUGCUGGGGUGUCUGUGAGCCUCUCACAGCGUGUUAUUUAGGGCUGGGCUCAGGGGCGGGGGGAGACGCUCACUACACACACGCUAAUUGACUUAUUGAGUUAGUCAUUUGGUCUUUGACAAACAUUUAUUUACUGCCUACAGAGAAGGCUCAAGUCGAUUUUUACUUAUCUUCCCAAAUGGCACCAAAAUUCAACAAGAGCCACCCAACACCUAGGAAAGGACUUUGACCAAUGAAAGCAACUUGAGAACAGGUUUUGCUGCCUUCAGCUCACCUUGAGCAGGGGCCA